GACGAACGCUGGCGGCGUGCUUAACACAUGCAAGUCGAACGGAAAGGCCCUGCUUUUGUGGGGUGCUCGAGUGGCGAACGGGUGAGUAACACGUGAGUAACCUGCCCUUGACUUUGGGAUAACUUCAGGAAACUGGGGCUAAUACCGGAUAGGAGCUCCUGCUGCAUGGUGGGGGUUGGAAAGUUUCGGCGGUUGGGGAUGGACUCGCGGCUUAUCAGCUUGUUGGUGGGGUAGUGGCUUACCAAGGCUUUGACGGGUAGCCGGCCUGAGAGGGUGACCGGCCACAUUGGGACUGAGAUACGGCCCAGACUCCUACGGGAGGCAGCAGUGGGGAAUAUUGCACAAUGGGCGGAAGCCUGAUGCAGCAACGCCGCGUGCGGGAUGACGGCCUUCGGGUUGUAAACCGCCUUCGCCUGUGACGAAGCGUGAGUGACGGUAAUGGGUAAAGAAGCACCGGCUAACUACGUGCCAGCAGCCGCGGUGAUACGUAGGGUGCGAGCGUUGUCCGGAUUUAUUGGGCGUAAAGGGCUCGUAGGUGGUUGAUCGCGUCGGAAGUGUAAUCUUGGGGCUUAACCCUGAGCGUGCUUUCGAUACGGGUUGACUUGAGGAAGGUAGGGGGGAAUGGAAUUCCUGGUGGAGCGGUGGAAUGCGCAGAUAUCAGGAGGAACACCAGUGGCGAAGGCGGUUCUCUGGGCCUUUCCUGACGCUGAGGAGCGAAAGCGUGGGGAGCGAACAGGCUUAGAUACCCUGGUAGUCCACGCUGUAAACGGUGGGUACUAGGUGUGGGGUCCAUUCCACGGGUUCCGUGCCGUAGCUAACGCUUUAAGUACCCCGCCUGGGGAGUACGGCCGCAAGGCUAAAACUCAAAGGAAUUGACGGGGCCCCGCACAAGCGGCGGAGCAUGCGGAUUAAUUCGAUGCAACGCGUAGAACCUUACCUGGGUUUGACAUGGAUCGGGAGUGCUCAGAGAUGGGUGUGCCUCUUUUGGGGUCGGUUCACAGGUGGUGCAUGGCUGUCGUCAGCUCGUGUCGUGAGAUGUUGGGUUAAGUCCCGCAACGAGCGCAACCCUUGUUCACUGUUGCCAGCACGUUAUGGUGGGGACUCAGUGGAGACCGCCGGGGUCAACUCGGAGGAAGGUGGGGAUGACGUCAAGUCAUCAUGCCCCUUAUGUCCAGGGCUUCACGCAUGCUACAAUGGCUGGUACAGAGAGUGGCGAGCCUGUGAGGGUGAGCGAAUCUCGGAAAGCCGGUCUCAGUUCGGAUUGGGGUCUGCAACUCGACCUCAUGAAGUCGGAGCCGCUAGUAAUCGCAGAUCAGCAACGCUGCGGUGAAUACGUUCCCGGG
rnacentral:rRNA from 1 species